rnacentral:misc_RNA from 1 species
UGUGGGAGCGAGCCUGCUCGCGAUUGGCGUCGGGUCAGUUGGCACGGUGUUGACCGAUACACCGCUAUCGCGAGCAGGCUCGCUCCCACA